rnacentral:tRNA from 1 species
AAUCAAUGAACUUGUAAAAGUGUAUAUUUUGAAAAUAUAAAAAAGAAAAUUUUAUUUCUAUUGAUUU